rnacentral:lncRNA from 1 species
UUGUAGUGAAAAGAAGAAGAAUUCAGCUUAAAGUAAGGUUAAAAAUUGUCAAAUAAUGUGAAAGGAGUUUGAAAUAUCAGAUCAGUCAUGUCUAGAGGAAAAUUUGGCAAAUGGAUACAUGACAAUUUAGUACUAAUAACAGGAAUUCCUCUGUUGAUUGGAAUUCAUUGGGGUUGGUCCAGCAUGCAGGAUGUACCAUACUUGGUAGAUCCAUCUGAAAAGAGAGAACUUCCCAUAUUGGUUGCACUUCGAACGAUCAAAAAUAAAAUAGCUAGUAAAUUUUCCAAUUCGACAGAAAUGGAGAGUUCAACCCAACAGAAGGCCGAGUGAUUGUGUGAUUGCCUCAUUUGUACAGAUAUUCAGUAGAUUGUUAUUUAUAUAUAUAUACUAGGUAGUAAAUUUAUAAAGCAUUGAUUUUGGUAGUGCUUUGUUGAAGGUGAUUUAAUUCAUCAAUGAAUAUAUAUGAAACUGUAUCUGUAUUUUUUCAGUGUACUAAUUAAAGGAUGACAAUGAAAGCGAAGUUAUUGGUAUAGAUAUGACAUCGGAUUCCUAUGUUGUAAAAUACAAAUGGAAACAUUGUGUUGAAUACUGUGGAAGGCUUUCCUAAUGUCCAAAAAGAUAGUUGCUGUUAGGUGGUUUUGUCAUUUGAAUGUGAUUUAUCAGUAUCAUGAAGGGAAGCAUUACUCACGAAGAGGAUUCAAUUGUUUCGUAAUUUCAGUGAGAGUUUUAAUUAUUAGCUUCCAUAAAUUCUAUUUGAUUAAAUUGAACGCGAGUGACGAUUUUAAAAAGAAUCAAGAGCUUUUCGAUGAAGAGUUCGUUGCGCCAAGACCUGAACAGGCAGAAAGAAAAAAGCAAAGAAGUCAUCAGCCACACCCGUAGUACAGCCAAAGCGAAAGAGACAAUCAAGCUCAAACUCGGAAAAAAAAUCAACGUAAAAAAGUAAAAAUUUGUAUUUGUGGCUCUAGUUUGCGAUUUAAUCUCGAGGUAUACUCAUUGUGUUCAAAUAAUUUAUUAUAUUUUUUUGAAAUUUUGUUAUUCUUAAUAAAAGUUUACUUAUCA